GUACACUCCUACGGGAGGCAGCAGUGGGGAAUAUUGGACAAUGGGCGCAAGCCUGAUCCAGCCAUGCCGCGUGAGUGAUGAAGGCCCUAGGGUUGUAAAGCUCUUUCACCGGUGAAGAUAAUGACGGUAACCGGAGAAGAAGCCCCGGCUAACUUCGUGCCAGCAGCCGCGGUAAUACGAAGGGGGCUAGCGUUGUUCGGAUUUACUGGGCGUAAAGCGCACGUAGGCGGACUAUUAAGUCAGGGGUGAAAUCCCGGGGCUCAACCCCGGAACUGCCUUUGAUACUGGUAGUCUUGAGUUCGAGAGAGGGGAGUGGAAUUCCGAGUGUAGAGGUGAAAUUCGUAGAUAUUCGGAGGAACACCAGUGGCGAAGGCGGCUCACUGGCUCGAUACUGACGCUGAGGUGCGAAAGCGUGGGGAGCAAACAGGAUUAGAAACCCUUGUAGUCCCAUGAU
rnacentral:rRNA from 1 species